ensembl:miRNA
UGACUGUGUAAUCUCUGCAGGCAACUGUGACGUGUUUCCGUGUCUCACAAUCACCUGGAGAGAUUCGGCAGU